GACGAACCGUGCGAACGUUGUUCGGAUUCACUGGGCUUAAAGGGCGCGUAGGCGGCUUGCCAAGUCAGGGGUGAAAUCUUUCGGCUCAACCGGAAAACGGCUCCUGAUACUGGCGGGCUGGAGGGAGGUAGGGGCAGACGGAACUUCCGGUGGAGCGGUGAAAUGCGUAGAUAUCAGGAGGAACACCGAUGGCGAAGGCAGGUCUCUGGGCCAUAACUGACGCUGAGAAGCGAAAGCAUGGGGAGCGAACAGG
rnacentral:rRNA from 1 species